CAUGCUGGGAGCUGUAGACCAGAGCUGUUCCUAUUUGGCCAUCUUGGCCGCCCUCCCCUGACUUCUUUAUAGUACUGAGAUUUCUAAUACAUUAACAUGUAUCUAUUUUCAACUUUGCUUUUCCUAAACUAGAGGUGGCGACAGUUUCCCAUUGUUAUUACACUCUGGGUUACCGCCCCAUCCUGUCUGCCUUUUCACUUCUUCCAUCACCACUUGUAUAACCAAAUACCUAUAUUAAGAUGGAUGUGAAAGAAUUCUGAAUUAUUUUGGAAUUCUAAGAUUCUAAAUGAACCACACUGGAGUCUCCUCUGAUCCCUUCCCCAGAAACCGUGUGGUACACCUGGUCAGCUUCUUCCAGAUACGCGGUGUCCAUUGUACUUCCCUGCUUACCUACGUGGCAGGUAAUGGCAAAUUCAUACCCGGCUACUGCCUUUGCUCUUGCCCCACCCUCAUUUUAGCAUGAAAGUAUCAGGAAAAUUGAAGAAAUCAUGUCACAAUACGUGAUAUUUAAAUCAAAUACAAACCAGCAAAGAAGUAUGUGUGAGUUGCCAUGAAAGGAAAUCCUGAAACGGCCUCUGAAGGAAGAGAAUGCUAGACGUGUGCUCCAGCUGCUACUUCAUCAGCACAAUUGCACAAUUUCAAGGCCUCCUGCUAUCCAGGCCUUGGUGAAAUCUCAUUAUCCCACCUUCCCAUAGAGCAACACUUACAGACGCCACCGUUUCCGUACCCCAACUCCUGUGUGAUUUUCUACACUCACGAGCAGGUUUUAAAAGGAAACUUCCAUUUUCAUGUUUCUCCUGGGGAAAUGAUUUUGAUGUUGAAAAUAUAGCCCUGUAAGAAUGUGACAAGGUGAUGAUUUCUCCAGUCAUUCUUCCACUGGAAGCUGCAAACCAAGGUCUCUGUGUCCAACACCAAUCAAAAUUGAUUACGGGGAGUGAAGAUGUUACUGUGUGUGGUUGCCAGCCUCUGAGUAAAGCACAUGCCACAGUGAGUGCUGAGAAUGCAGGGGAGUCGGGAAACCUUCAUUAACAUAAAAGCCACUAGUAGAAACCACACAGGCAUCUGAUUUUUAGUUUUCUUUUUUUAUGAUACAACAGCGAAGCAUGCUUACGUCAAAACCUUUUGAAUAUACACAAAACACAAGCCUACAAUGAAAAGUACUUAUAAUCUCAUCACCCAGAAGCAAUUGCUACUAACAUUUUGGUGUUUUUCUAACCAAUAUUUUCAGAGAACUUUUUAAAAAGUGGGUGCAUAUAAAAUUUUGUAUGUUCAUUUUUACCUUUUUGCACUAUAGCAGCACCGCUGCUAAAAUUCUUCAUCAUUUGUGAACGUUACUUGAAGUCUCAUGUUUUAUCCUAUGCUCUCUUCCAUCAUUGAGCCUCAAUAGGCUAUUUACAAUAUUUAACUUCAUAUAUAACACUGUUGGGACCACCUUUGUCAAGACAUUGAAGUAUUUCCUCAACUGUCUUACAUAUUAUGUCUUCAGGAAUUGAAAUUACUGUUCAAACAAUAAUAAUUCUAGAGGUUCUAGCUACAUAUUUCCAAGUAAUUUUCCAAAAAAUUAGGUGGAUGAAAGCCACAGCACUGCACUGAUUACCACAUAGUAGAGAUUUCUUUGCAUUCAUAUGGGGCCAAAUUGAGAGGCAACAUUCUCCAAAAGUCACCAGGACAAUAGCCAUCACAUCUCUGCAUCAUGUGGGAACAUGCUGGACAAGCCAAGCUGCAGAGCCAAAGCUGCAGGCUACAACAUCACAACCUCUUCCUGACAGUGCUGCUCUUCGCACAGGAAGAAUAUGAAAUCUACAGAGGUACUGGCAACUUAAAAAUAUUUCAAACCUAAGCCAAAAUACCUCAUGCACAAAGCUACAUCAUUGUACUGGUUAUGAGCCAUUCCUGCACCUGGAGAAAGAAUCCGAACAUCAUCCCUGGAUAGUGUUGGCUGAGCAGGCAGGACCUUGAGUAGGUCUCAGCAGGGACAUACAGACUUGGGCCAACAUGAUCACUGUCAUCCAGGUCCCUGGUGCUACAAAAGGCCAGGGCCAGCGAGCAUGAGACUGAGCAGAAGUGGAUUUCCUAGUGGGCGAGCGGCCAUCUCUGGGAUGCCUGGGGAAGCUUCCCUAGGCAGGAUACAAAGUUAUCGCCAGGUCUCUGAGCAUCAGGAGACAGUCAGGGUGGCAUGCACCCAGAAGGGCAGGCAUCCAGUGUCUGGAGAAUGAGACACCUAAGCAGGGCCUUGGCUGAUGGAGCAUCAGUAGGGGUGGGAUAUGAACGAGGCAGGGAGAAUGAGGGAACGUCACAUCCAAAAUCUGGCUAGGUCAGAUAUUUCUUAGGGAAGAUUUUUAGAUCCUAAGAAGCUGAAUAGAGAACCUCAAAGAGAAUGGCAGCGAAACAUCUCCAUCAGGUGUGCAAUUGUUUAAGAUUUCAUCUUUAAGAGGCCAGGAGAUGGAUGGUUAUUCAAGAGAUUGAAAUGUAACAUUUUUAUUUAAAACAUCAUAAAAGUAGAUGUCUAGGGGCCAAAUGGGCAAGUGCUACUCAGUUGAAGGAAUGUAGGAACUCAACAUUUCAGAAUCGUCCCUGCUGGGCUUUGACCAUCUGAUGGAAUUUUGAGACAGCAUGAUGCGACUAGUUCUAGGGUUAAAAAGACGCACUUUAAUGUCACCUGAACAUAACACUUCAGAAGAAGGUGAUAAACUUUUACACCCACCCAGGCUGAAGCUGGAGGGGAGUGGAGUUUCUGAAGCUGUGGCACAUGGUGCACAGGUCCAGCAAGUUCUCGGGCACCAGCAGUGCCCACGGUGGAAGACAGGCAGGACAGACGAGGGUGGAGGAAGGAGCCCAGGGCAGAGCCAGGACAAAGCUUGCUGGACAGUGUCACUCAUGGAGUGCCCCUAGCUUCACCCCAUCUGUGACAAAUAUUUUCAAGAUUUCCAUUAAAAAAAUUUACUGAAA